rnacentral:tRNA from 1 species
GGAGGGGUGGCUCAGUGGUUAGAGUACUAGCUGUGCUUGCAGAGGACCAGAGUUCAAUUCCCUGCACUUACA